rnacentral:rRNA from 1 species
AGAGUUUGAUCCUGGCUCAGAAUGAACGUUGGCGGCGUGGAUUAGGCAUGCAAGUCGAACGUUAGCAGUAGCAAUACUGCAAAAGUGGCGAAAGGGAGAGUAAUACGUAGGUACCUGCCCUCGGGUCUGGGAUAGCUGCGGGAAACUGCAAUUAAUACCGGAUGACGUCUCUGGACCAAAGGUGUGAUUCCGCCAGGGGAUGGGCCUGCGUCCUAUCAGCUAGUUGGUGUGGUAAUGGCGCACCAAGGCUAAAACGGGUACGGGGUGUGAGAGCAUGCCCCCGCUCACUGGGACUGAGAUACUGCCCAGACACCUACGGGUGGCUGCAGUCGAGAAUCUUCCGCAAUGGGCGAAAGCCUGACGGAGCGACGCCGCGUGUGGGAUGAAGGCCUUCGGGUUGUAAACCACUGUCAGUGGGGAGCAAAUGCAUCAGGGUUCUCCCUGGUGUUUGAGCGAUCCGCAGAGAUGC